CAGUCCUGACUGCAUGCACACGCU
rnacentral:piRNA from 1 species